GAUGAACGCUAGCGGCAGGCCUAACACAUGCAAGUCGAAGGGUAGAAGUUGCUUGCAAGUUUGAGACCGGCGCACGGGUGCGUAACGCGUAGGCAAUCCGCCUGGUACUGAGGGAAAGCCCAGAGAAAUGUGGCUUAAUAACUAGUAGCAUUAUGAAAUCGCAUGGUUGUAUAAUGAAAGUUUCAACGGUACAGGAUGAGCAUGCGUCCAAUUAGUUAGUUGGUAAGGUGACGGCUUACCAAGAAGAUGAUGGGUAGGGGUGCUGAGAGGGAGAUCCCCCAGACUGGUACCAGAACACGGACCAGUCACCUACGGGGGGCAGCAGUGCGGAAUAUUGGUGAAUGGACGCUAGCCUAAACCAGCCAUGCCUCGUGCAGGAUGACGGUCCUAUGGAUUGUAACCUGCUUGUAUACGGGAAGAAUCGCUUCUACGUGUAGGAACUUGACGGUACCGUAAGAAUAAGGAUCGGCUAACUCCGUGCCAGCCGCCGCAGUAA
rnacentral:rRNA from 1 species